UGACAUAAAUCCCUUGCAAAAAGAAACCCAUUCGUCUCCCCACAUUUCAGAAACCCAUUCGCCUUCCCCCAUUCCAUAAGAAACCCAUUCGACAGCCCCUCCCUCCCUUCGACGGAAAACAAGCACAACCGCUGCACGUCGUACUCCGGUGGAGAGGCAAGAUCUCAGGGAAAAAAAUUCAACACUCCCUCCCUCCGAUGGAAAGCGAAAUCUCAAAGAAAAAAUUCACCGAAAAUGAGCAACCCUUCCAGCGAACCCAGACCAACGUAGUCGCACCCACAGUUCACAGCAGUUGUCCUCCAGACCGAGGAAACCAUCGCACCAUACCCAUUCCUUCUUGUUUCAGUUCUGCAAUCACAUGAAGAGGAGAGACGGAGAUGGAAGAAGGCUCGCAGAGAAGAGAACUUGUCUUUUGUUUUUUGGGAGGAGGGCUCGAGGGGAGAUGGAGAAGGGUAGAACUUUACUUGAAAUCCUCUGUAUUGCAAGUGUAUCUCUAUGAGUUUGUGGGCUCUACGUGGCAAUGUGUUAUUGGAGUCUACCGGAUGGACUUUAAUAUAUAGACAUGCGUGAAAAUUAUCUCUUUUAUA